GGGGGGACCAUCCUCCAAGGCUAAAUACUCCUGAUUGACCGAUAGUGAACCAGUACUGUGAAGGAAAGGCGAAAAGAACCCCGGUGAGGGGAGUGAAAUAGAACCUGAAACCUUGUACGUACAAGCAGUGGGAGCCCGCAAGGGUGACUGCGUACCUUUUGUAUAAUGGGUCAGCGACUUAUAUUUUGUAGCGAGGUUAACCGAAUAGGGGAGCCGAAGGGAAACCGAGUCUUAACUGGGCGAAUAGUUGCAAGGUAUAGACCCGAAACCCGGUGAUCUAGCCAUGGGCAGGUUGAAGGUUGGGUAACACUAACUGGAGGACCGAACCGACUAAUGUUGAAAAAUUAGCGGAUGACUUGUGGCUGGGGGUGAAAGGCCAAUCAAACCGGGAGAUAGCUGGUUCUCCCCGAAAUCUAUUUAGGUAGAGCCUUGAGCGGACACCUUCGGGGGUAGAGCACUGUUUCGGCUAGGGGUCCAUCCCGGAUUACCAACCCGAUGCAAACUACGAAUACCGAAGAGUGAUACUCAGGAGACACACGGCGGGUGCUAACGUCCGUCGUGGAGAGGGAAACAACCCAGACCGCCAGCUAAGGUCCCAAAGUCUAUAUUAAGUGGGAAACGAAGUGGGAAGGCUUAGACAGCUAGGAUGUUGGCUUAGAAGCAGCCAUCAUUUAAAGAAAGCGUAAUAGCUCACUAGUCGAGUCGGCCUGCGCGGAAGAUGUAACGGGGCUCAAAUAUAGCACCGAAGCUGCGGCAUCAGACGUAAGUCUGUUGGGUAGGGGAGCGUUGUGUAAGCGGAUGAAGGUUCAUCGAGAGGUGGGCUUGACGUAUCACAAGUGCGAAUGCUGACAUAAGUAACGAUAAAACGGGUGAAAAACCCGUUCGCCGGAAGACCAAGGGUUCCUGUCCAACGUUAAUCGGGGCAGGGUGAGUCGGCCCCUAAGGCGAGGCUGAAAAGCGUAGUCGAUGGGAAACGGGUUAAUAUUCCCGUACUUGGAUAAACUGCGAUGUGGGGACGGAGCAGGUUAGGUUAGCGUGCUGUUGGAUAUGCACGUUUAAGUUAGUAGGUGGGGAGUUUAGGCAAAUCCGGACUUCCUUAACACUGAGAGAUGAUGACGAGGCUCUACGGAGCUGAAGUAACUGAUACCACACUUCCAGGAAAAGCCACUAAGCUUCAGGUUUAUCUAAACCGUACUGAAAACCGACACAGGUGGUCAGGUAGAGAAUACUCAGGCGCUUGAGAGAACUCGGGUGAAGGAACUAGGCAAAAUAGCACCGUAACUUCGGGAGAAGGUGCGCCGGCGUAGAUUGUAGUCCCUUGCGGGCGAAGGUUGAACCGGUCGAAGAUACCAGCUGGCUGCAACUGUUUAUUAAAAACACAGCACUCUGCAAACACGAAAGUGGACGUAUAGGGUGUGACGCCUGCCCGGUGCUGGAAGGUUAAUUGAAGAUGUGAGAGCAUCGGAUCGAAGCCCCAGUAAACGGCGGCCGUAACUAUAACGGUCCUAAGGUAGCGAAAUUCCUUGUCGGGUAAGUUCCGACCUGCACGAAUGGCAUAAUGAUGGCCAGGCUGUCUCCACCCGAGACUCAGUGAAAUUGAAAUCGCCGUGAAGAUGCGGUGUACCCGCGGCUAGACGGAAAGACCCCGUGAACCUUUACUAUAGCUUGACACUGAACAUUGAAUUUUGAUGUGUAGGAUAGGUGGGAGACUUUGAAGUAGUCACGCCAGUGAUUAUGGAGUCGACCUUGAAAUACCACCCUUUAACGUUUGAUGUUCUAACGAAGAUUGCGAAACGUGGUCUCGGACAGUGUCUGGUGGGUAGUUUGACUGGGGCGGUCUCCUCCCAAAGAGUAACGGAGGAGCACGAAGGUUUGCUAAUCACGGUCGGACAUCGUGAGGUUAGUGCAAUGGUAUAAGCAAGCUUAACUGCGAGACAGACAAGUCGAGCAGGUACGAAAGUAGGUCAUAGUGAUCCGGUGGUUCUGCAUGGAAGGGCCAUCGCUCAACGGAUAAAAGGUACUCCGGGGAUAACAGGCUGAUACCGCCCAAGAGUUCAUAUCGACGGCGGUGUUUGGCA
rnacentral:rRNA from 1 species